UACGUAGGGCGCAAGCGUUGUCCGGAAUCAUUGGGCGUAAAGAGCUCGUAGGCGGCCUGUCGCGUCUGCUGUGAAAUCCCGGGGCUUAACCCCGGGCGUGCAGUGGAUACGGGCUGGCUGGAGGCAGGCAGGGGAGAACGGAAUUCCCGGUGUAGCGGUGAAAUGCGCAGAUAUCGGGAGGAACACCGGUGGCGAAGGCGGGUUGCUGGGCCGACACUGACGCUGAUGCGCGAAAGCGUGGGGAGCGAACAGG
rnacentral:rRNA from 1 species